rnacentral:snoRNA from 1 species
GCGCUGCCUUUGGGCCCCCGCUGCGCCUGUGCGUGGCGCCGGGGGUCAAGCUGCGGCGCUAGAGAACCUGCUCGCGCAUAACUGGGGCCCCUGCCAUUCGCGGGCGGCUCUUUUAACCACGAGCAACACGG